rnacentral:sRNA from 12 species
CCUAUGGAGAGUAUAAAAAAUGUGAGUAGUGUUUGGAUUUAUUCAACACAAAAACAUACUCGUUGAAAUAGGAA